GGAACGCCGAUAGCUGCUUUGUCCCGCCUCGAUAGCGGUUUUGGGUUGCCCCCGAAGCUUUGUGACGAGUUGAGGGGAUCGCGGUGGCGUUGAGAAGUAUAUUUACCAAAAUGGUGUGAUGGUGCAAGCAUAAGCCAGCUACGUCAACCAAGUUCAAACCAUCCCUUGAUAGUCUGAAGCUUUACAAGGAGGAGGAGAGAACUGCAGGUUUUAGCCCAUCUCUUCAAGCUGCUGGGCUUGUUCUGAGGAAGGAAACUUCUGUUGUCAUGGGUGUUCGGAGUGCAGUCCAAAAAACAAUUCUGUGAGCAAGUGGAGAAUUGAGGAGAUGAAGACCCUGUAAAAGAAGGAUGGUGAACAUACAACUGGACUGUGGUCACUGCUGUAUGGAAUUGGAGUUCAAUGGCACCACCCAGAGAGGUAGCUGAAAAUUCCAUCUACUUUCAUAUUGAUACCCUUUCUGCAAGAGCCUGUGAGUUCCUUGGGCCCAUGACACAUUUGUGUCUGCAAUGCAUUCUGCAAAAGUAUCACAUACUUGUGACAUUUUAAGAAUACAUAAGGAAGAAUGCAAGGACAAGAGAUUCACAGGAAGCAACCAUGUUGGGAACAGUGAUUUAUUUGUUCAGAGGAGAUGCU